CUCGCGAUAGCUCAGUUGGUAGAGCGGAGAACUAUAGAUCCUUAGGUCGGUGGUUCGAAUCCGUCUCGCGAGA
rnacentral:tRNA from 1 species